rnacentral:rRNA from 1 species
CGAGUCCAUUGAUGGGCCGUUUACCUUACAGUGGGCCUUUCGGGGCCUACGACGUUACCAAAAUGUGGAAAUUGCUUGGCCGUCUGCGCUUGGUGAAUCCGCAGCCAGCUACUCUGCUGGUUCAACGACUAAAUAGUACAGGCUGACUUUCCUAGCAGCUGAGAUAUAGUCUAAACCCCCGAAGAGAUUCGGGCGGUACAUUGCAUUAAAUCAGUUAUCGUUUAUUUGAUAGUACCUCACUACUUGGAUAACCGUGGUAAUUCUAGAGCUAAUACAUGCUAAAAACCUCGACUUCGGAAGGGGUGUAUUUAUUAGAUAAAAAACCAAUGCCCUUCGGGGCUCCUUGGUGAUUCAUAAUAACUUAACGAAUCGCAUGGCCUUGCGCCGGCGAUGGUUCAUUCAAAUUUCUGCCCUAUCAACUUUCGAUGGUAGGAUAGUGGCCUACCAUGGUGGCAACGGGUAACGGGGAAUUAGGGUUCUAUUCCGGAGAGGGAGCCUGAGAAACGGCUACCACAUCCAAGGAAGGCAGCAGGCGCGCAAAUUACCCAAUCCCGACACGGGGAGGUAGUGACAAUAAAUACUGAUACAGGGCUCUUUUGGGUCUUGUAAUUGGAAUGAGUACAAUUUAAAUCUCUUAACGAGGAACAAUUGGAGGGCAAGUCUGGUGCGGUACUCGUGUACCCCAGCUAAGAACUAUCAUUCUUCUGCUGGCGCCAGUGACAGAUUGGGCCUUCGACUUAUUUC